rnacentral:rRNA from 1 species
AUGAAGAAGAGGAAAAGAGGGAAGGUUGUGAGGUCGGGAUGUCCGGCCCACCUUUACAUCACCCACACGGAUGCGUGGUGGAGAGUCAAACGCUUCAACGACGACCACAACCAUCCUCUAAUAAGAAAGCCGUCCUUGACAAAGUUCCUAUCAACACAUAGGAACAUUCCAAAAGAUGAGCAGGACUUCUUAAAGAUAUUGCACGGAUGCAACAUAGAGACGUCAAGACAGAUGCAACUAAUGCAAUGGUUCUACGGGAAUCCUAAAGAUGUACCAUACACAACAAAGGACAUUGCAAACCAGCAAGCUAAAUUCCGGAUGGAGUACCGCAAUGCUGAUGUGGGGAGCACAAUCUCGUACUUCCAAGAUAUGAAGGCACAAGAUCCAGAUUUCUAUUGGAGAAUAAAGCUUGAUGAUGAGGACAGAGUGGAAAAUUUAUUCUGGAUAGAUGGUUGUGGGUUUGUUAGAAACGAACUAUCUGGUAACUUUGUGUGGCUGUUUAAUGCAUUCUUGCAUGCAAUGGAUGGAAUUGCACCAAAGAACAUAAUAACAGAUCAAGAUUUUGCAAUGAGGAGUGCUAUUGAUGAGGUGUUCAUCGGGAUAGUACACAGGAAUUGUCGCUGGCAUAUAAUGAAAAAAGCACAAGAGAAGCUUGGGAAGCUGAUGGCUGACAAUGAGCCACUAAUAUACUAUAUGCAUGAUUUUUUCCCAUUCUUGCAGACCACGACAAGAAGCGAGGGUUUUAACUCUGUGCUCAAGAAGUAUGUCAAUCCAAACAACUCACUGGUUGAAUUCGCACAACAGUACACUGCGAUACAGGAUAAGGUGAUGGCUAGCGUGUCAAAAGAGCAGUUGGAAACAGUGUACAAAGAAACCGAAAUGUACUCGAUGAACCCGCUGGAGAUGCAGGUGCGGGGGCUGUACACACAUAACUUGUUUUGCAAGUUCCAGGUGGAGAUAAAGGUGAAAUCAGUAUAC